UCUUUUGUUGCUUAGUAGCAGAGUACUUAAUUGUUAACUAAUUGAUGGUAGGCUCGAAUCCUACUUGAGGGG
rnacentral:tRNA from 1 species